UUGGAGGGCAAGUCUGGUGCCAGCAGCCGCGGUAAUUCCAGCUCCAAUAGCGUAUAUUAAAGUUGUUGCAGUUAAAAAGCUCGUAGUUGAAUUUCGGGAUGAUCAGGUUGGUCGUGCCAUUGGUAUGUACUAGCUUUGGUGGUUCCUACCUCUUGAAGAACCGUAAUGUCAUUAACUUGGUGUUGCGGGGAAUCAGGACUGUUACUUUGAAAAAAUUAGAGUGUUUAAAGCAGGCAAACGCUUGAAUACAUUAGCAUGGAAUAAUGAAAUAGGACGUUUGAUCUUAUUUUGUUGGUUUCUAGGAUCGACGUAAUGAUUAAUAGGGAUAGUUGGGGGCAUUAGUAUCCAAUUGUCAGAGGUGAAAUUCUUGGAUUUAUUGAAGACUAACUACUGCGAAAGCAUUUGCCAAGGAUGUUUUCAUUAAUCAAGAACGAAAGUUAGGGGAUCGAAGACGAUCAGAUACCGUCGUAGUCUUAACCAUAAACUAUGCCGACUAGGGAUCGGAUGAUGUUAAUUUUUUAAUGACUCAUUCGGCGCCUUACGGGAAAC
rnacentral:rRNA from 1 species